AUUGAACGCUGGCGGUAUGCCUAACACAUGCAAGUCGAACGAGGUAGCAAUACCUAGUGGCGGACGGGGUGAGGAAUACGUAGGGAUCUGCCCUUAAGUGGGGGAUAACCCGGGGGAAACCCGGAUUAAUACCGCAUGAUCUCGCAAGAGCAAAGAGGGGGACCGCAAGGCCUCUCGCUUUUGGAGGAACCUACGUCGGAUUAGCUAGUUGGUGAGGUAAUGGCUCACCAAGGCGACGAUCCGUAACUGGUCUGAGAGGAUGAUCAGUCACACCGGAACUGAGACACGGUCCGGACUCCUACGGGAGGCAGCAGUGGGAAUAUUGGACAAUGGGGCGAAAGCCUGAUCCAGCAAUACCGCGCGUGUGAAGAA
rnacentral:rRNA from 1 species